ACGACCUUACUUGAACAGGAUCUGUUCUAUUGGCUCGUACCUCUGUGUCCUUUAGUUCAAAGGAGUCAGGAUUCCAUGUCUGGUUGAUGAACAACGACUGUGUGAUUUGAGCGUGAUUACUGGUCUGGUGAUAUCCCUGCUGGUUUCACUUCAACCGCAGAGGAUCGUUCUCAUCUUGCCUUGUGCGGCUAGGAGGGUCCCGCAGUUGUCUGACAGACU
rfam:Gossypium hirsutum cultivar TM-1 chromosome 3, whole genome shotgun sequence